rnacentral:misc_RNA from 1 species
AAAAAAAAUUUUAGCCAAUGCCAGGGAAGUUCUCCACCUUCGGCUCCUCCGCCAACCUAGAGAAGCACAAUAGAAACUUCAUGGCUUCCCAAGGGAGUUGCCACGGUUUCAGAAAGGGGUUAGGUAUCUCGAGGAUCUCCACUGCGAGGCCACUAAUUUCCUCCACGAUCUGUAGCACUGAGUUCAAUGAUCGAAUUUGCUUUAAGAAUGGGUUUUCUAUACUCGUCACUGGCGUUGUCGAGUCCGUUGGACACACAUUUCUGCACCUUUGAAAUGCUGCAGCGAUGGCAUUCUGUGUGUGGAGAGUGGCGAAUGAGCCAUGAUUUUAAUCGUGGGUGUGGAUUCUGGCAGGGGAUAUAUGAGAUGUGGUGUUUGGAUUUUGUGUCGGAUUCAUCAUCAUUACCACAGGGUAAGCUUGAUGAAGGGGAAGAUGGGUAAAGAAAGAUAAAGUGAAUUAAUAAA